AGCGGGUGGAUGCGUGUGCCGUUGCCCGUCCGGGCCCUUGCGGCAGGUCGAUGUCGCACGGCGCUGGAGACUCCCCUGGUGGCCAUCCAUGGAUGCGGCGGUGGGCUCUGCUUCCUCAUUAGAUUAAAUUUUGGUAUUACAUUUUUUAGCACUUCAUGUGAAUGUUCUAUAGUCUCUAUUGUGCAGGCGGGUCUACUCUCCCUCUUGAGGCAAGUGUGGAUGUAAUGGAUAUUGAUUGUGGUUGUUCGGACAAAAAUAUUGCGUGGAAACAUUAUAUACUGAUGGAGAGUAGUAGUUGUGGAGCGGGUCGUGGGAGAGACGGUUGGUUAGCAUGGGCUGGACGGGAAGGUGAUGCCUGCGAUGGCGACCAAGCCGGCGGGCAGGGCAGGGGCGACUGUGGCCAUUGUGGUGUUUUCAAGGGAGAGCGGGGCAACUGCAAUCACGCAACUGAAGAAGUCGAAACCCGGGGCGAAGUUGGCGAACAUGAAAGCUGACAAACCUAAAUGCCGGUGAUAGGUUGUUCGCCGCUGUCGCGCCGUCUUUGAACUUGGUGGAGACGCAUAAGCAGUGGCAGAGCUAGGAUCAAGCCAUGACCCGGGCAAGCCCCAGGCCAAUCACUUGGUACAGUGCUAAAUAGUGUAAAAUCCACUACAGUAAACGAAGAAGCCAAGCCUCAGGACCCAGGACACCGCCCGGACAGCCUGGGGCUUGUCUCCGCCACUGCGCAGAAGGAGAACGGUGGCGACGUGAAGACCUUGAUGACUGCUGCCAUGACCACAACCAUGAUGAUUGUGUCGGUAAUAAAGAUACUAAUUAUAUACAAAUCCCCCAGCUUUGAAAACAUUAGAUUAUCCAACUUAUUAUUCAAAUUCUUGAUUCAAGAUAAAUGGAAAUUUCCUAUAUACAAUGAGCUUAUUAUUUUUUUUAGAAAAGGAGGAUGACCCCCGGCCUCUGCAUCUGGGAGAUGCAUACGGCCACUUUAUUGAUUAUUCUCGAGGACCUUACAAAGUAUUACAACAAUAUGCCUGAAUCCACCAUCUUGGCAUCUGCCGAUACUUCUAUCCAUACAAUGAGCUUAUUAUUGAA